rnacentral:lncRNA from 1 species
GAGGUCCGGAUUCUCUGCGAGAGCCAACGAUAAGUGACCAAACAAAUGCGAAAAAUCGAAAGAUAACAAAACGAACUCAUAGAAAAAGGUAGAUCUUAUUUCGAAUCGGCGUAAGAGCGUUGCGAUCAUUACACGAGAUUAUAAAAGCUUCGGCCGCAAGAGCUUUCAGCGAAUUACCUAGUUCUAGCAACCUAAAACCUUAAACCUAGUUGAGUCGCAGCUCGAUAACAAAAGACGAAAAAAGAUACGAAAAGGUUUUGAUUGAUUUCGGACUGAACCUUAUGAAAGGCUGCCUACGUACCCCUUUCGAGGAUCAAGCCGAACGUAGUUCGAUUAAAAGAGUAGAAUAAGAGAUCGAACCACCAUUGUGAGUUCGUCUAGUAAUCGAGUGCCAGUCAUAGAAACAGAGCAUGUCGAGAAUAAUGCCUAAAGUUUCUAAGUGCAGAGAGUUCUAAGAGUAAAAAGAAUUGUUCCUUUGUCUCAUCGACCUC